CUCUCACCGUCAAGUGCAGCUGUGAAUGGCCCAACUCUUGCAUCCUGUGUAGCUGCAAAGCCUCUGUCCAGACGAUAGAUCCCGAUACCAUGUCCCUAGAAGAGCGCAUAGCCCUCCUGGACUCUGGCUUCCACCCCAUACUCUCCUUAUCUCAUGGCAACCCUCUCCACUUGCACUUUGAAACCUUAUUAAGAGAGGACGGAUUGCAUAGACUACUGAGCCGUGAACUCAAGACUCUGAAGAUGUCCCAUUUUGGAAAGAAACAAGAUCCAACUAACAGCACAUUCCCAAACCUACACUCUUCGCUCCUGCUUGCCUCCUGGAGAAGGCAGCUUAAAGGAACAUCCAGUCACAGCUUUCCUGUUUCCAGUCCUUGGGCGCAUGAAUACAGUUCUCUGCACCACCCGCCGUCCUUGUACCCAGAGACUCCUCCAGCCCGUUCUUCCAGCCCAAUCCCUUUCACUGGCAUCUCA